rnacentral:rRNA from 1 species
CCUACGGGAGGCAGCAGUGAGGAAUAUUGGUCAAUGGACGAGAGUCUGAACCAGCCAAGUAGCGUGAAGGAUGACUGCCCUAUGGGUUGUAAACUUCUUUUAUAUGGGAAUAAAAUGUUCCACGUGUGGGAUUUUGUAUGUACCAUAAGAAUAAGGAUCGGCUAACUCCGUGCCAGCAGCCGUGGUAAUACGGAGGAUCCGAGCGUUAUCCGGAUUUAUUGGGUUUAAAGGGAGCGUAGGUGGAUUGUUAAGUCAGUUGUGAAAGUUUGCGGCUCAACCGUAAAAUUGCAGUUGAAACUGGCAGUCUUGAGUACAGUAGAGGUGGGCGGAAUUCGUGGUGUAGCGGUGAAAUGCUUAGAUAUCACGAAGAACUCCGAUUGCGAAGGCAGUUCACUGGACUGCAACUGACACUGAGGCUCGAAAGUGUGGGUAUCAAACAGGAUUAGAUACCCCUGUAGUC